rnacentral:rRNA from 1 species
CUACGGAGGAUCCGAGCGUUAUCCGGAUUUAUUGGGUUUAAAGGGUGCGCAGGCGGGAGAUUAAGUCGGCGGUGAAAUUUUGCAGCUCAACUGUAAAAGUGCCUUCGAAACUGGUUUCCUUGAGUGUAGAUGAAGUAGGCGGAAUUUGUGGUGUAGCGGUGAAAUGCAUAGAUAUCACGAGGAACUCCGAUUGCGCAGGCAGCUUACUAAACUACUACUGACGCUCAGGCACGAAGGCGUGGGGAUCAAACAGGAUUAGAUACCCUGGUAGUCCACGCAGUAAACGAUGAUUACUAGCUGUUUGCGAUACAAUGUAAGCGGCUGAGCGAAAGCGUUAAGUAAUCCACCUGGGGAGUACGUUCGCAAGAAUGAAACUCAAAUGAAUUGACGGGG